UAUGGCCAUAUCACAUUGUAACACCAGUUCCCAUAUGAUCACCAAUGUUAAGCACUGUCAGGCCUGGUCAGUACCUACGUGGGUGACCAUUUGGCAAUACCA